rnacentral:misc_RNA from 1 species
AAGUGCCAGCGGGUCCGGCGUCGGGUUGCCCCUACAAGGGCGCCCGCGUUGGCCCACUACAGGCCCCACACUUGUCUACCUACCACGUUGCCUCGGCGGACCGCCCCUAGCGGGGGGUCGGGGGGUUCACGCCCCCUGGCCAGCGUCCGCCCGAGGACCGUCCAAACCACUGUCAUCAGCAGUUGCGGUCUGAGCGAUUUACUAUAAAUAAAUCA